rnacentral:rRNA from 1 species
GAUUAACGCUAGCGGCAGGCAUAAUACAUGCAAGUUGAACGGCAGCACAGGUAGCACUACUGGGUGGCGAGUGGCGCACGGGUGCGUAACACGUAUGCAACCUACCCUAUACAGGCGAAUAACCUUUAGAAAUGAGGGCUAAUACGCCGUAGUAUUACAGAUGGGCAUCUAUUUGUAAUUAAAGAUUUAUCGGUAUAGGAUGGGCAUGCGUCCCAUUAGUUAGUUGGUAAGGUAACGGCUUACCAAGACGAUGAUGGGUAGGGGAUCUGAGAGGACUUACCCCCACACUGGUACUGAGACACGGACCAGACUCCUACGGGAGGCAGCAGUAAGGAAUAGUGGGCAAUGGCCGCGAGGCUGACCCAGCCAUGCCGCGUGCAGGAAGACGGCCUUAUGGGUUGUAAACUGCUUUUAUACGGGAAUAAUAGAGUGUACGCGUACAUUUAUGCAAGUAUCGUAUGAAUAAGCAUCGGCUAACUCCGUG